rnacentral:tRNA from 1 species
GCGGUUGUGGCGAAGUGGUUAACGCAGCGGCUUGUGGAGCCGACACGCGUGGGUUCGAUUCCCAUCAGCCGCCCCA